GAGAAACACAGUGAACUCCUGUUCCAGAGGCUGUGAUUCUGCCCACCAUAGGAACAAGGGGCUAUUAAAGAGAUGACUCAAAGGCUACAUUCCAGACAAUGUCUCUCCAAAUUUGCCCAGGCUGUACUCAAGACUUCCAUUUUCCUGCCUCAGCUUCUCUAGGAACUGGGAUUAGAGUGCGUCAUCAUGUCUGGGUAAUCCUUAUUGAUUUUAAUAAAAGCCAGUGUGAACAUGGCUCCUAGGCUCAAUAAAGUUUUAAUGACUUGUGA